rnacentral:rRNA from 1 species
GACGAACGCUGGCGGCGUGCCUAACACAUGCAAGUCGAACGGGGCAGCAAUGCCCAGUGGCGAACGGGUGCGUAACACGUGAGGAACUUGUCCAUCGGCGGGGGAUAGCCGGCCCAACGGCCGGGUAAUACCGCGUACGUCGGCGAGACCGCAUGGUCUUGCCGGGAAAGCAGCAAUGCACCGAUGGAGAGCCUCGCGGCCUAUCAGCUAGUUGGUGAGGUAAUGGCUCACCAAGGCGACGACGGGUAGCUGGUCUGAGAGGAUGAUCAGCCACAUUGGGACUGAGACACGGCCCAGACUCCUACGGGAGGCAGCAGUGGGGAAUAUUGCGCAAUGGGCGAAAGCCUGACGCAGCGACGCCGCGUGUGGGAUGACGGCCUUCGGUUGUAACCGACUGUCGCGAGGGACGAAGAUCUGACGGUACCGUCGAAAGGAAGGCACCGGCUAACUCUGUG